CUCGACCGCUGCUCUAAUGCAGUUUGGUUCUUCCCAGGAAACUAAUCGUUUCGAUAUUUUCCCCUGUUCUACAGAUAUUGUCCAGUCGGGUUCUCAUGGAGUAACCUGCGCCUGCUUAUCCCCGAGUCGUGUCUUAAGGAGAGUGGAAACCCAGAAACGCGACGCUUUCAGACUCAUGGUUCUUGUUCUCUACCUCCAAGCCCAUCCUCUCAAGGAGAACCGUCGGACCCAACUCAGAGGAGCGUUCACCUGCUUGUCCACCCUCCACCGUUCGCCUCAAGUCGCAGCGGAAGAAAGGACAGUUUUUCUAACUGGAGAUCACAGGAACUAAUUGGCUCACUGCCUGCCAACCACAGACUCUGUGGAGAAGUACUUAUUCCCCUACCUCCUUACCCACCCUCUCACUCAGGAACAGGUAUUGGGAGUGGAGCUGGAACCGGAAGACAACUGCAAAGGGGGUUGAGUUUGAUCCGCCAGGAGGGGCGAGACAGCAAUGGAAACUGCACACUGAGAUGAAUGAAGCUGGUAGGUACUUGGACUCACUUGAGGUGACUCAGAGGUUCGGCUGAUGAUGUUAUAAUGUGGGAGGGUGGACAGGGUUCGCUUGUGGUGGUUCGUAGUUGAUACAGGAAAAGCUCCGUCAGAUUGGCCGCCAGCAGUCCCUUAGGAAGCAAAGUGUU